rnacentral:rRNA from 1 species
UACGAACCGUACAAACGUUAUUCGGAAUCACUGGGCUUAAAGAGUCCGUAGGCGGCCUGUUAGGUGAGGUGUGAAAUCCCCCGGCUCAACCGAGGAAUUGCGCUUCAAACCGGCAGGCUUGAGGAGGAUAGAGGUGGGCGGAACUGAUGGUGGAGCGGUGAAAUGCGUUGAUAUCAUCAGGAACACCGGAGGCGAAAGCGGUCCACUGGGUCCUUUCUGACGCUGAGGGACGAAAGCUAGGGGAGCGAACGGG